rnacentral:rRNA from 1 species
UACAGAGGUCUCAAGCGUUGUUCGGAUUCAUUGGGCGUAAAGGGUGCGUAGGCGGCGCGGUAAGUCGGGUGUGAAAUCUCGGAGCUUAACUCCGAAACUGCAUUCGAUACUGCCGUGCUUGAGGACUGGAGAGGAGACUGGAAUUUACGGUGUAGCGGUGAAAUGCGUAGAUAUCGAGAGGAACACCAGUGGCGAAGGCGAGUCUCUGGACAUUUCCUGGCGCUGAGGCACGAAAGCCAGGGGAGCAAACGGG